CCCUGUCAGAUGCUAAUUGUUGUGUCUUUAUCUCUGUCAGGAGGACCAAGGCCCUGGCAGCCUACCAGCAGCAGGCAGUGUGUGUGACAAGGCUGGUCAGAGAGACCCUUAGAGAACAGUUGGAGCUACAGAGGAGAGAAGUGGACACUCUAAACAAUGAGUUGGACAAGGAGAGAGAGCUACGGCACAGAAACAGCAGUUCUUGGAGUAUAAACUAAGGAAGACACGACAGCUUCUAGAGAGGCAGGUGAUUUGCGACUCAGAUGAUUCUGACCAGAAUGACCCAGAAUCUCCCUGUGAACCAAUCAGCUCGCCUCCCAGUCCUUUAGACCUGUAUUUUGAUGCAGAGAUGUAGGAGAUGGAAGCUGAAACUGGAGUCAAGCCUAAGAAGAUUCUGGAAACAAGAGCACUAUUAUGGAUACUUCAAGGCUACACAAGGCCCGUGUGUGUACAUAUGUGUGUGUGUAAUUUAACUGUAUUUCAUUCAGACUAUUGUGCUGCACUGUGUGUCUACCUCAGUUGCUUUGAGGAAAUAAAAGUGAAUGCCUGA